rnacentral:rRNA from 1 species
GUGGACCUACGGGAGGCAGCAGUGAGGAAUAUUGGUCAAUGGGCGAGAGCCUGAACCAGCCAAGUCGCGUGAGGGAAGACGGUCCUAUGGAUUGUAAACCUCUUUUGCCGGGGAGCAAAAAGCGGUACGUGUACCGCAUCGAGAGUACCCGGAGAAAAAGCAUCGGCUAACUCCGUGCCAGCAGCCGCGGUAAUACGGAGGAUGCGAGCGUUAUCCGGAAUGAUUGGGCGUAAAGGGUGCGCAGGCGGUCCUGCAAGUCUGGAGUGAAACGCAUGAGCUCAACUCAUGCAUGGCUUUGGAAACUG